UAACAUAGUAAGCCUUUAGUUAAAGGUGCCCUGUCACACAAAACUGUUCUUACUUGCAUUUUUUGAAAUAUGUUGGGUCCAUAUGUGUUUGUGUUAUGUUGUGAAUGUGAAAAUGAACUGCUACCUCCUCUGUCAGCUCUAGCCCACUGAAUAGAAAUAAGAGGAGAAAU